rnacentral:rRNA from 1 species
CGCCCUUCAGAGGGGGACAACAGUUGGAAACGACUGCUAAUACCGCAUACGAUCCAAUCUCGGCAUCGAGGAUGGAUGAAAGGUGGCCUCUAUUUAUAAGCUGUCACUGAAGGAGGGGAUUGCGUCUGAUUAGCUAGUUGGAGGGGUAACGGCCCACCAAGGCGAUGAUCAGUAGCCGGUCUGAGAGGAUGAACGGCCACAUUGGGACUGAGACACGGCCCAG